rnacentral:rRNA from 1 species
CGUAGGGACCAAGCGUUGUUCGGAUUUACUGGGCGUAAAGGGCGCGUAGGCGGCAAUUCAAGUCAGCUGUGAAAUCUCCGGGCUUAACUCGGAACGGUCAGCUGAUACUGCUUUGCUAGAGUGCAGAAGGGGCAAUCGGAAUUCUUGGUGUAGCGGUGAAAUGCGUAGAUAUCAAGAGGAACACCUGAGGUGAAGACGGGUUGCUGGGCUGACACUGACGCUGAGGCGCGAAAGCUAGGGUAGCAAACGGGAUUAGAUACCCCGGUAGUCCUAGCCCUAAACGAUGAAUACUUGGUGUCUGGAGUUUUAUCCUCCGGGUGCCGUCGCUAACGUUUUAAGUAUUCCGCCUGGGGAGUACGCACGCAAGUGUG